AUACAGAGGGAGCGAGCGUUAAUGGGAAUUACUGGGCGUAAAGUGCGCGUAGGCGGCUUAUUAAGUCAGAUGUGAAAUCCCCGGGCUCAACCUGGGAACUGCAUCUGAUACUGGUAAGCUAGAGUUUGGGAGAGGGAAGUAGAAUUUCAGGUGUAGCGGUGAAAUGCAUAGAGAUCUGAAGGAAUACCAGUGGCGAAGGUGACUUCCUGGCCUAAAACUGACGCUGAGGUGCGAAAGCGUGGGUAGCAAACGGGAUUAGAAACCUUAGUAGUCC
rnacentral:rRNA from 1 species